AACGAACGCUGGCGGCGGGCUUAACACAUGCAAGUCGAACGCCCCGCACCGGGAGUGGCAGACUGGUGAGUACCGCUUGGGAACAUACCCUUUUCUACGGACUAGCCCUGGUAAACUGGGAUUAAUACCGUAUACGCCCUACGUUGGAAAGAUUUAUCGGGGAAGGAUUGGCCCGCGUUGGAUUAGCUAGUUGGUGGGGUGAAGGCCUACCAAGGCGACGGUCCAUAGCUGGUCUGAGAGAAUGAUAAGCCACGUAGGAACUGGGACACGGCCCAAUCUGCUACGGGAGGCAGAAGUGGAGAGUAGUCGACGAUGGGGCCACGCCUGAUCCAGCCACGCAGCGGGAGUGAUGAAGGCGUGAGGGUAGUAAAGCUCUUUGACCAAUGAAGAUAAUGACGGUAAUCGGAGAAGAAGCCCCGGCUAACUUCGUG
rnacentral:rRNA from 1 species